GUUCCAUUAUGGAAACUGCCAAUUUCCCUGCCAAAGUCUUGGCUCAGAAGAUUCACAGUUGAUCCCCGUGAAAAACAGAUACAUUUAGCAGCAUCUAUUCAAGGAGCUGUGCAGAAAUUCUGUGAGUACUUUGGCACAUUCUCUUGUCAUCCCAACACUGCUCUUUGAGGGAAAGGCACCACAGAAAUAUUUCAGGUACCGUGCUAAACGCUCUCAUUCCAGUGAGGAUUUCUGUUAAAAAGUGGGGUUUUUUUUCCCUGCAAUCUUGGAAUUUUAAGUGUUUUUCAGAGUUCCUGGUCAUGGAGGGUCUGUUCUUGAAAUAAUGCCUGGCAGCAGAAGUGCACACAGAGCUCUCCCUGCAGCUGGUGCACAGAUGCAGUGGUUGCUUUCCAAGCCCCCAGGAAAUCUUGGAUGCAUCCUUAAUAGCCAAGUAAGGGAGCUGAACACAUUUUCCAGGUGAGGAACCAUCACCAGGUAAAGGUGAGCGGUUCAGGCAAUCGCUGGGAGGACUCCUCGUGAAAAUACUGAUUCAGCACCGUAAUGUUUAGGUAAAUGCUACAACAGCUCUUUAAAAGAGAAAAGCGAGACACUUCUUAUGUAUGACUCACUAAUCACUGUCUGUGCUGUGGAGCCUGGAGUACAAAUUCCUUUUGUCAUGAAAAUGCUUGCUCCUUUGAUCCCCACAGCAUCAUUAAACAGUUCUAAAGAGUAAGUAAAUCUUUUGGCACAUUCUUUGCAAAAUAAGCGUUUCAGGAUUCAGACGCAUGUGGGUGUGUUUGUGAUGCUGAGGAGAUUGAUACCGAUACAAUUUUUAGCAGCGGGUGCAGACUGUGCGCGAUGCUUUGCCGAGGAAAAGAGGGAGACAGGUUUUUCCAGCUCUUUUUCCAAAGCAAAUAUGUCGAAAAUUGAAAUGCACAGGGCAGCCAUGCGGGAUUGCUGCACAGGAUUUGCUGGUGCAAAUUAAACCUAUUUAGCCUGGGUGUAGAACUUUCCCUGUUGACACAUGGAAUGUUCUUCACAAAGAGUUUUGAAGACUUUU